GAUGAAGAACGCAGCGAAAUGCGAUAAGUAGUGUGAAUUGCAGAAUUCAGUGAAUCAUCGAAUCUUUGAACGCACAUUGCGCCCCUUGGUAUUCCAUGGGGCAUGCCUGUUCGAGCGUCAUUUGUACCUUCAAGCUCUGCUUGGUGUUGGGUGUUUGUCUCGCCUCUGCGUGUAGACUCGCCUUAAAACAAUUGGCAGCCGGCGUAUUGAUUUCGGGGCGCAGUACAUCUCGCGCUUUGCACUCAUAACGACGACGUCCAAAAGUACAUUUUUACACUCUUGACCUCGGAUCAGGUAGGGAUACCCGCUGAACUUAAGCAUAUCAAUAAGCGGAGGA
rnacentral:misc_RNA from 1 species